rnacentral:misc_RNA from 1 species
UUUCCGUUGGUGAACCAGCGGAAGGAUCAUUACAGAAAUCAUCUCCUCUAAGGGUAGACCUCCCACACUGUGUUAAUACUCUUGUUGCUUUGGUAGGCCGCCUUCGGGCUCUCGGCUCCGGCUGAGGUGCGCCUGCCAGAGGACCCCAACUCUGUGUUUAGUGUCGUCUGAGUACUAUAUAAUAAGUUAAAACUUUCAACAACGGAUCUCUUGGUUCUGGCAUCGAUGAAGAACGCAGC